GAUGAACGCUAGCGGCAGGCUUAAUACAUGCAAGUCGAGGGGCAGCGCAGUGUAGCAAUACAUGGGCGGCGACCGGCAAACGGGUGCGUAACACGUACGCAACCUUCCCGUUACUGUGGGAUAGCCCAGGGAAACUUGGAUUAAUACCACAUAUUGCCAUUGGGAGGCAUCUCUUGAUGGCCAAAGAAUUUCGGUAACGGAUGGGCGUGCGGUUGAUUAGGUAGUUGGCGGGGUAACGGCCCACCAAGCCUACGAUCAAUAGCUGAUGUGAGAGCAUGAUCAGCCACACGGGCACUGAGACACGGGCCCGACUCCUACGGGAGGCAGCAGUAAGGAAUAUUGGGCAAUGGACGAAAGUCUGACCCAGCCAUGCCGCGUGAAGGAUGAAGGUCCUCUGGAUUGUAAAGCUCUUCAGUGGGGAAGAUAAUGACUGUACCCACAGAAGAAGCCCGGCUAACUCCGUGCCAGCAGCCG
rnacentral:rRNA from 1 species